rnacentral:rRNA from 1 species
GCUAAACGCGAAGAACCUUACCAGGUCUUGACAUCCCCCUGAAUACGAUAGAGAUAGCGUAGGCCUUCGGGACGAGGGGAGGACAGGUGGUGCAUGGUUGUCGUCAGCUCGUGUCGUGAGAUGUUGGGUUAAGUCCCGCAACGAGCGCAACCCUUCGAGCUUAGUUGCCAGCACGUUAAGGUGGGCACUCUAGGCUGACUGCCGGUGACAAACCGGAGGAAGGCGGGGAUGACGUCAAAUCAUCAUGCCCCGUUAUGACCUGGGCUACACACGUACUACAAUGGCCGGUACAACGGGUCGCGAAGCCGCGAGGCGGAGCCAAUCCCAGCAAAGCCGGUCUCAGUUCGGAUUGCAGGCUGCAACUCGCCUGCAUGAAGUCGGAAUUGCUAGUAAUCGCGGAUCAGCAUGCCGCGGU